UACGUAGGGCGCAAGCGUUGUCCGGAAUUAUUGGGCGUAAAGAGCUCGUAGGCGGUCUGUCGCGUCUGCCGUGAAAACCCGAGGCUUAACCUCGGGCUGGCGGUGGAUACGGGCAGACUAGAGGUAGGUAGGGGAGAAUGGAAUUCCCCGGUGUAGCGGUGAAAAUGCGCAGAUAUCGGGGAGGAACACCGGUGGCGAAGGCGGGUCUCUGGGCCGUAACUGACGCGAGGAGCGAAAGCA
rnacentral:rRNA from 1 species